ensembl:lncRNA
AAUUCUGCCCCUGGAAGAACAGAGGCAGGGAAGACCUGCCCGCUGUGCUGGAGCUGUCCGUGGUCCUGACAAGGCUGGCAGCAAUAAAGCCAUAAUCAGCUUAUCAAAGGAAGAAGCACAAGAAGCCAGAAGCACGUCCCUUAAUAAAGAUCUUGCUCUUAUUCUCUGGGUCUCUUAAGUAAUUAAGCCUGCUGUCUUCUACUGCUGGGUGUAUGGAUUAGGCUGGGAACCAAGCCUCUGCAAAUUAAAGCAGCAGAUAGACGUCCACACACACGCCUUCCCCCCAUACCUGAAACGCCCGUGCGUCCCAGCCAAAUGAGCUCUAGUACAUCUUGUCUCCGUGUGGUAUUCUUUUGCCUUGAACUAGAGAUUCUUUUUCUGGGGAACAGGUGUUCUUGAACCUGAUUUUCCAGGCUUAACCACCCUAAGAACCAAGUGAAAUUAAUUUAAUGAAUUCGCAAAGAAAGCAAAGAAGUUCCCUUUUUUUUUUUAAAUUUAUUUAUUUAUUUAUUUAUUAUUUGCCUUUUUGUCUUUUGUUGUUGUUGUUGUUGCUAUUUCUUGGGCCGCUUCCGCGGCAUAUGGAGGUUCCCAGGCUAGGGGUUGAAUUGGAGCUGUAGCCACCGGCCUACACCAGAGCCACAGCAAUUCAGGAUCUGAGCCGCGUCUGCAACCUACACCACAGCUCACGGCAACACCGGAUCGUUAACCCACUGAGCAAGGGCAGGGACCGAACCCGCAACCUCAUGGUUUGCAGUCGGAUUCGCUAACCACUGCGCCACGACGGGAACUCCAAGUUCCCUUUUUUUAAAGCAUUUUUUUCAUUGCUUCUUCCAUUUAUGCCCAUUGAUAUGUUUGUAUCAAAGGACAUAUAUUUACUGCAUAAGCAGUGUUAUUGAUGUCAUUUCCAGAAAAAAAAUGUGGCAGAUACAGGAAUGUUGGGAACCUGACAUGAACCCCCACUCAUGCUUGAGAGCUCUGGCUUUGGGGUCAGGCAGGCCUGUUUCAGACUCUGAUGGCCACUUACUAACUGUGUGUUCGUGGGCAACUCCUGAAUAUUUUUUGAGCCUCAGUUUCUUCAUCUGUAAAACGGGAUCAAUAAUACUUACCUUGCAGGGUCCUCUGCAAACGAAAGGAGAUAACGAAUGUGAAGCCUUUAAAACACUCAGCCGAGGCGAAGGCCACAUGAAAGAUAUGCACGUGCCAAGUGUUCACGGAACUGCAAGCAACUUCACAAGCCUGGAUCUGGCCACACACGUGUCAGCCAAGGCCUCUUACCUUCGACCAGCUGCCGAGACCGAUGUGUUUUCUUUUCCGAGCCUCUCAGAUCCGCUCCACGCAGCCCGGGGGGUGUGGGCCGCGGGGAGGACAGUGGUAAAUAUCACGUCAACUCCGGAGGCACAGCCAAGGUUGAUGACUGAGUGUCGGGAUGACCGAUCAAGAGUCAGGUGAGUGGGGUGGGGGCUGGUAAGAAGGUCGGGGAGGCGGCAGGGCGAGGGCGGGGGUCAGAUUCAAGAACUAACGCAAAAGACACGAGCAGGAACCAGAGACCCAAGGAGGACAUAGAGCAGCGAAUUGAAUCCUGGAAACAGGUUUCCGCCGCUGGCUGCUUUUAGAAGAAUGAGGAGACCCCCCUCAGCAGCCUUUGGGGGCGAUGUCCUGUCUUUAAGACUCCCCACUCCCCGUGGAAACUCUCAUGUCCCCGGCCGGUCACACCAGUCUCUGAAGCUGAGCCUUAAGUGAAAAUGAUCGGCUUCCCAGGUGACUUUGGAGAAGCCAGAGUCAGCGGCUCCUUGAGUGUCUCCCCUGCACCUCCCUCCUCCACACCGCUGUUUCCAGACACCCCUUCCCAGGCGAUGCUGUAGAACCCUCACUGGCUCUCCCUUUAUUUCUGAGUUUGAUGGGUACCACUCGAGACAGAGGGUGUCCUGGCCCAGCCCCCCUGCAGCCUCGCACCUGUGACCGGCCUGCCUUCCUCUCGCUGCCCGCCUUGCUGUUUCUCCUGUGAUAUCCUUGGGCAUGACUGGGGGGAGCCCAGUGGACCCCUGAAAUGCAGAGGCCCCAGGGAGGAUGGGCCCAGGUGAGGCCCAGGUGUGGGAAGGACUGAUCUGGCAGGAAGAACUCAGUGUGUGCGGCCAUGUGAGCCAACACAGUGGAGC